rnacentral:lncRNA from 1 species
UUUAUUUGAAGCCAUAGGAUGAGUGGUGAUUGAAGCAUGAAAAAAAUAAUAAAUUUACCUGGUCACCAGCUUAAGAAAGGAUUAACGGUAAACCAUGCCUUUUUCUCCGGGCAUUACAAAAACCGGCUGAAUUAAACAAGAUGACCACAGGAAUUCAAAAGCUCACCAGGAGCUACACAUGCUAGCUAUCUGUCGUGCAAGUAUUAUACGUAAAAAAGAGGAUACAAGCACGCAAGUAAAGUACGUAAAUGUACAUGCACGGUAUGUUUUCAU